UACGUAGGGUGCAAGCGUUAAUCGGACUUACUGGGCGUAAAGCGUGCGCAGUCGGUGAUGUAAGACAGAUGUGAAAUCCCCGGGCUUAACCUGGGAAUGGCAUUGGUGACUGCACGGCUAGAGUGUGUCAGAGGGGGGUAGAAUUCCACGUGUAGCAGUGAAAUGCGUAGAGAUGUGGAGGAAUACCGAUGGCGAAGGCAGCCCCCUGGGAUAACACUGACGCUCAUGCACGAAAGCGUGGGGAGCAAACAGG
rnacentral:rRNA from 1 species